UCUGGUGUCAGCCGCCGCGGUAAAACCAGCACCUCAAGUGGUCAGGAUGAUUAUUGGGCCUAAAGCAUCCGUAGCCGGCUCUGUAAGUUUUCGGUUAAAUCUGUACGCUUAACGUACAGGCUGCCGGGAAUACUGUAGAGCUAGGGAGUGGGAGAGGUAGACGGUACUCGGUAGGAAGGGGUAAAAUCCUUUGAUCUAUUGAUGACCACCUGUGGCGAAGGCGGUCUACCAGAACACGUCCGACGGUGAGGGAUGAAAGCUGGGGGAGCAAACCGGAUUAGAUACCCGGGUAGUCCCAGCUGUAAACUAUGCAAACUCAGUGAUGCAUUGGCUUGUGGCCAAUGCAGUGCUGCAGGGAAGCCGUUAAGUUUGCCGCCUGGGAAGUACGUACGCAAGUAUGAAACUUAAAGGAAUUGGCGGGGGAGCGCCACAAGGGGUGAAGCCUGCGGUUCAAUUGGAGUCAACGCCAGAAAUCUUACCCGGAGAGACAGCAGAAUGAAGGUCAAGCUGAAGACUUUACCAGACAAGCU
rnacentral:rRNA from 2 species